ACCGUUCGUUGUGGUAAAUGGAAUUAAUUAUUUUAUUUUGAGAAUAAAUACCAACUGAACAAAUACUCUCAAUUGGCUCGAUAUACGGAGGAAGUUUCACCAGAAAAGUUAUUUUAACAGCGAAAGUUCUUAUUUUUGAAUCACUUUCUGAAAAACAACACAACAGACAUGUACGUUCCAUUAUUGAUUAUCAUUUUUGUGGCAACAAUAACUUCAGCCCAAUACACUACUCCAGUUUGCCCCAUUGUUGAAAAGCCAUGGUGUGCAGUUAGGUGUAAUGUAGAUGUGGAAGAGCCAAUCUGCGUAUUAACAAGUGGUUGUAAAGGAAUUCCAAUUACUUUACGCAAUAUGUGUGUAAUGAGUGGUUACAACUGCAAGUGUCGAUCAUCACCGUUAACACUCCUGCACGAAGGUGUAUGCUAACCGGUUGGGACUUGAUUAUAUCAACAAUUAAUGCAGUUUUAUUAAUUGGAGAAACUAUAGGGUAACAGCCCCCUCGAUUUACGAGCAGUGAAAGUGAUGCCACUGUUUGAGUGAGAGAGACAAAACAGGGGCUCGUA